GCGCAUCCCUAAACUCUUUGGGGCUUUCUAUAGUAAUGUAGAUUGAAAAAUCGGGUGAAUUCGGGGGAAACCUUUUUUAAAAAAGACGAUCCCGAGCCAAGCCCCGACGUUAUGUCGGGGAAGGUGUAGAGACUAUCUCGAAAGAGAGUAGUCCCAGUGCAAAUUGGGACGAAGCGCCCGAUUCCGUAUCUCAAAAUGAGACGGAAGUGAUAUAGUCCAAAUUAUCCUUGGAAGAGGAUG
rnacentral:ncRNA from 1 species